rnacentral:lncRNA from 1 species
GGGAGGCGCUGAGAUUCCGGGCCCGGCGGCCGCGGGGAGCGGGUGUCCGUGAGGAGCCGGGCAGCCGGCCUCCUCUCUUUGCCUUUUGGGGGUUCUUUUUGUAAUAGCAGCAGCAUGGAUUCACCAGCCUGAUUUGCUGCUUCUUCCUGCAUCCAGCCUGCUCCUGGGUCUCCUUCCCCACCUCACAGCCAUGGCAACCAAAUGCACGGGCUUGUGAAGACCAGCAGCCCAACUUCAGCAAGGUCUCGCUGGCCUGGACAGAAGAGCCAAGAUGAAUUACCAUGUGCAUGGAGAGAAGCCAUGGCCCAAGGAUGGGAAUUGCAGAUCUGGAGGCUGAAGCCCCACAUUGGCAUCCUGGCUCUACUCCCACUGGUUCUGUCACCCUGGGCAAGGCACUUCUCCCAAGCUGCAGUUCUGCCAACUGAGAAGCAGAGACAAUGACACUUGUUCCGCUCACCUUGCAGGGUUGUUGUGAGAAGGAAAUAAAGUAUUUGGAAGCACUUUA